GUGCUUGCUUUGGCAGCACAUAUACUAAAAUCGGAACGGCACAGAGAAGAUUAGCAUGGCCCCUUCNCAAGGAUGACACAUAAAUUCAUGAAGCGUUUCGUAUUUUU
rnacentral:snRNA from 1 species